rnacentral:rRNA from 1 species
UACGAAGGGGGCUAGCGUUGCUCGGAAUCACUGGGCGUAAAGGGUGCGUAGGCGGGGCUUUAAGUCAGGGGUGAAAUCCUGGAGCUCAACUCCAGAACUGCCUUUGAUACUGAAGAUCUUGAGUUCGGGAGAGGUGAGUGGAACUGCGAGUGUAGAGGUGAAAUUCGUAGAUAUUCGCAAGAACACCAGUGGCGAAGGCGGCUUACUGGUCCGGUACUGACGCUGAGGUGCGAAAGCGUGGGGAGCAAACAGG